AGCCAUGCAUGUCUAAGUACAAACUUUUACACGGUGAAACCGCGAAUGGCUCAUUAAAUCAGUUAUGGUUUAUUAGAUGGUGCUAUCCUACUUGGAUAACUGUGGUAAUUCUAGAGCUAAUACAUGCGACAAAGCUCCGACCCUCGUUGGAAAGAGCGCUUUUAUUAGAUCAAGACCAACCGGUAUCGCUUUCGGGUGUGCCGUCGGAUUGAUGACUCUGGAUAACCUUUGCCGAUCGUAUGGCCCCGAGCCGACGACGCAUCUUUCAAAUGUCUGCCCUAUCAACUUUCGUUGGUAGGUGAUUUGCCUACCAAGGUGUUUACGGGUAACGGGGGAUCAGGGUUCGAUCCCGGAGAGGGAGCAUGAGAAACGGCUACCACAUCCAAGGAAGGCAGCAGGCGCGCAAAUUACCCACUCUUAGCACGAGGAGGUAGUGACGAAAAAUAACAAUACGGGACUCUUUCGAGGCCCCGUAAUUGGAAUGAGUACACUCUAAACCCGUUAACGAGGAUCUAUUGGAGGGCAAGUCUGGUGCCAGCAGCCGCGGUAAUUCCAGCUCCAAUAGCGUAUAUUAAAGCUGUUGCAGUUAAAAAGCUCGUAGUCGGAUUUCGGGCGGCGGCCAAUGGUUCGGUUCCGUGCCGAUACUGCUGGUCGCGGCCUCCACGCCGGUCGUCUUUCGGUGCUCUUAACUGAGUGCCUUAAGUAGCCGGAGCGUUUACUUUGAAAAAAUUAGAGUGUUCAAGGCAGGCYUCGAGCCUGAAUGAUGGUGCAUGGAAUAAUGGAAUAGGACCUCGGUUCUAUUUUGUUGGUCUUCGGAACUGGAGGUAAUGAUUAAUAGGGACGGACGGGGGCAUUCGUAUUGCGGCGUUAGAGGUGAAAUUCUUGGAUCGUCGCAAGACGGACUACUGCGAAAGCAUUUGCCAAGAAUGUUUUCAUUGAUCAAGAGCGAAAGUCAGAGGAUCGAAGACGAUCAGAUACCGUCCUAGUUCUGACCAUAAACGAUGCCAACUAGCGAUCCGGCUCCGUUGCUUUAUAAGACUGGCCGGGCAGCUCCCGGGAAACCAAAGUUUAUGGGUUCCGGGGGAAGUAUGGUUGCAAAGCUGAAACUUAAAGGAAUUGACGGAAGGGCACCACCAGGAGUGGAGCCUGCGGCUUAAUUUGACUCAACACGGGAAAACUCACCCGGCCCGGACACCGUAAGGAUUGACAGAUUGAAAGCUCUUUCUUGAUUCGGUGGGUGGUGGUGCAUGGCCGUUCUAAGUGUGA
rnacentral:rRNA from 1 species